rnacentral:rRNA from 1 species
UACGUAGGGUGCGAGCGUUAAUCGGAAUUACUGGGCGUAAAGCGUGCGCAGGCGGUUUUGUAAGCCAGAUGUGAAAUCCCCGGGCUUAACCUGGGAAUGGCAUUUGGGACUGCAAGGCUCGAGUGCGGCAGAGGAGACUGGAAUUCCUGGUGUAGCAGUGAAAUGCGCAGAUAUCAGGAGGAACACCGGUGGCGAAGGCGGAUCUCUGGGCCUUACCUGACGCUCAGGCGCGAAAGCCUAGGGGAGCGAACCUGG